AUAUCAAUAAGCGGAGGAAAAGAAACCAACAGGGAUUGCCUCAGUAACGGCGAGUGAAGCGGCAACAGCUCAAAUUUGAAAUCUGGCUCUUUCAGGGUCCGAGUUGUAAUUUGUAGGAGGAUGUUUCGGGUGUCGGCUCCGGUCUAAGUUCCUUGGAACAGGACGUCAUAGAGGGUGAGAAUCCCGUAUGUGACUCGGUAGCCCUAUGCUCAUGUGAAACUCCUUCGACGAGUCGAGUUGUUUGGGAAUGCAGCUCUAAAUGGGAUGGUAAAUUUCAUUCUAAAGCUAAAUAUCUGGCCAGAGACCGAUAGCGCACAAGUAGAGUGAUCGAAAGAUGAAAAGCACUUUGGAAAGAGAGUCUAAAAAGUAC
rnacentral:rRNA from 1 species